rnacentral:lncRNA from 1 species
CCCCACUUCUAUGCCUGGCAAACCAGCACUUACCCUUCGCCACCAAGGUUAAUUUCUCUGAACUUUCUCUAAGUCCCCCAGGGUACAUCACUUUCUUCAUAGAGGCAUUACUGUACCUUUCCUAUUUCUCAGCUCUAGUGCUAUGUUGACAUUCUUUCUUCUUUUUCAUUUUAUUUUCUCAGACCUUAAACUCCUUUUUGGAAGUUACCUUCAGUGGCUUUUCAUUAUGUCUGACCCAUGGUUGAUAUUGAUUGAGUGGAUGAGAGACUGCCAAGGAUGCUUUCUGAAAUCUGCUAAGGAAUUUGGGAAACAAAAACAACUAACAGUUGAAAGCAGAGUGUAAAAUUGUAGAGUAUAGAACAGAGGAAACUGGCUAUAGGAAAAUGGACAAUCUUGCCUCUACCAAAAACAGCUCUCAGAGGUGAGUGGUUUAAAAUUGACUUGGUGACUAGUGGGCCAGAUCUGCUUUUGUAAACUGGAUCUGCCACUUUCUUGCAGUGA